CUCAGUGGACUGAGUGCUGGUUUGCAAACGAAAGGGUCUGCAGUUCGAUUCCAGGUCAGGGCACAUGCCUGGG